rnacentral:rRNA from 1 species
UACGUAGGGGGCAAGCGUUAUCCGGAUUUACUGGGUGUAAAGAGAGCGUAGACGGCUGUGCAAGCCAGAUGUGAAAGCCCGGGGCUCAACCCCGGGACUGCAUUUGGAACUGUGUAGCUGGAGUGUCGGAGAGGCAGGCGGAAUUCCUAGUGUAGCGGUGAAAUGCGUAGAUAUUAGGAGGAACACCAGUGGCGAAGGCGGCCUGCUGGGCGAUGACUGACGUUGAGGCUCGAAAGCGUGGGGAGCAAACAGG